AGCGGGGGGGCGGCCCCUCCGCCAGCCCCGGGACCCCGGCCGCGGUGGGGAGGGGGUGGACUGCGCCCGGAGCGGCGCAAAUAACACACGUGUGUGUGUGUGUGCGUGUGUGCGUGCCUGCCUGCCUGCCUGCCUGUGUGUGUGUGUGUGUGUGUGUGUGCGUGUCCCCGUGUGUCACAGCGCACACAGCCGUGCGGCACACGCCGCUGCCCCGCUGUCCGGGCGCGCCGCAGACACGUGAAGGCGCUGCGGCGGCAGCAGCAUUACAUCAGCUGCGGCACCGUGGCCGGGUGCGCCCCGCAGCCCCCGCGCCCGGCCCACCCCUCCGCCGCGGCUCGUAACAAAAUAACAAGUGGCUCCGUGCUCACAUGGCCCUGAGGAAGCCAGACACCGGCACGGGCGGCGGUAGGCCGGGCCAUCGCUUGUCCUCGGGCUCCCUGUGUGUCCCCUAAACAUAAGUGGGGCUGGGCUGCCUUUACUCACAACCUUUUUGUUAACAACGUUUUCCCAAAAUGUAAGUUGUGCAGCUAGCACAACUGCUUUCUCUGAACGACGGGCACAAACCAUAUUUCUGCUCCUCGGGAUCGUGGCUUUCCAUGUAAAAAGCCAGAGGAACUGCACAGCCUGGGAUAGUGGACAGCACUGGAAGUGUCCUGUGCGGGACAGACAUAUUCAUUCAAGGAUGAUCUUCAAAAGAAAAUGAAAGAGCCAUUUCGGAGAAAGAAAGAGCUGGCUGUCUGCAUGAGGACAAUCUCCACUGUGCAGUCCUGUGACAGCUCUCUCCCUGACAAGACAGUGGCGUGCCCUGUCAAAGAUCAAAGCAAUCACAUCUCUUCACUACUGGUUUAUGCCCAUCUCGUUUUAACACUUCAGUUCCUCUUGGUCAAAAGUCCAGUCCUUCCCCUGCUCAUCUUCUGGCUGACAGCUCCACCACUUCUGAGCACCACUUCAGGACCCUCUUUUCCACAAAUGCUUUUGCCCCAGGGGCUGCUUCAUGGACUCUUCACAACUUUUCUGUCAGCAGCGACUGCUCUCCAGCCUCGAUGGCUGCUGAAGGCAUCAGUGCUGUGCCUGGGAGCGGUGCUAUCAGUGCCUCGUCAGGACUCAGCAGGAAACGUCUGGCCUCCUCUCCACGACCAUCUGCUAAAACCCGGCCUCCUCUGGCGGGAGUCCAACACAAAGUAAACAGAGUUUCACAGCCAGAUUUCAAACAGCAAAAUAACUGAGAAAUAUGGCUCACUGCUUCUGGUUUUCAAAUUCAAAACACUGAAGUCCCUAGAAGCAAAAAUCCUUUAUGGAUCCUAAGACCUCCUGGUUGCCAAAUGGAUCCAUUGCAGCUAACACUACGGAGAAAGUGCAGUGAUGUAGCAAUUUUAGUUAGUUACACCUAAUUAGUUCAAUUUAUGCAUUUGGUAAUUUUUAAGAUGAUUUCUUUCUCAAGAUCAGCGAUGGAGAAAAAUAAAUUUGUUAAACUGGAGAUUUCAGCUUGAAAUAUUUGUAUGGGUAACAGUACAGAGAGAAGAGUUCUGAAUCUUGCUACUGUACAAUAUUUUUCAUGGUAUAGGAGAGAGAGGAGGACUCAAUGAAGUGUGAAAGAUUUUUUAAAAGAACAGAUUGCCAUGUCUUUUAAAAUAGGUCAAGUUUUUGGCCUAGUUUCCUUUAGAGCAUCCCUUAAAGCAAUGGGGUUGGAAUAUCCAUGACAGUGCCAUUGCUUUUUUUGUUUUUAGCCAUGUCUGUGUGUGGGUCUAGUUGUAACACAGAAAUGUUCCAGUGUAAAACUCUGACGGCAAAGACCACAUAUCUCCAGGAGUAUUUGUGAACAAGUUACACUGAACAAUAAAAUCUCAGCAGUGGCUGCAUUUCAUCCUUAUGGGUAAUGUUAUUCUGAAACAAGCGACUGAGAAAAAACAAACUGUUAAAUAAGAUCAUGGCCAGUGAAGCCAAAACCUGCAGACACAAAUCCUGUCAAACCUAAUCUAUUAACCCUCCAAAUUUCAGGAGGGUUUGCACUGUUGUUUGCUUUCCAUCUUUAAAUUGAUUAAAUCAAUUGAUUAACUUGAUUUAAGCAGAACGGAGAACUAUAAUAAUGACAGGCAGACUGAAGAUACACAAGAUAGCACUUGUAAGAACAAACCAAGGCCACCUAUGUUGAAUGGAGAUAAAAUACAACAGUCAGCUGUCAAAACAAAAAGAAUCUGUAUGUGUACAUUUAAAUUCUGAAAAAGGAUGUUCAAGAUAUUUAAAGAGGGAGGAAAUUCUGCA